rnacentral:rRNA from 1 species
GAAACCCCGGCUAACUCCGUGCCAGCAGCCGCGGUAAUACGGAGGGGUUAGCGUUGUUCGGAAUUACUGGGCGUAAAGCGCGCGUAGGCGGAUUAGUCAGUUAGAGGUGAAAUCCCAGGGCUCAACCCUGGAACUGCCUUUAAUACUGCUAGUCUUGAGUUCGAGAGAGGUGAGUGGAAUUCCGAGUGUAGAGGUGAAAUUCGUAGAUAUUCGGAGGAACACCAGUGGCGAAGGCGGCUCACUGGCUCGAUACUGACGCUGAGGUGCGAAAGUGUGGGGAGCAAACAGGAUUAGAUACCCUGGUAG